CUACGGGAGGCAGCAGUGGGGAAUAUUGGACAAUGGGCGAAAGCCUGAUCCAGCCAUGCCGCGUGAGUGAUGAAGGCCUUAGGGUUGUAAAGCUCUUUUAACGGGGAAGAUAAUGACGGUACCCGUAGAAUAAGCCCCGGCUAACUUCGUGCCAGCAGCCGCGGUAAUACGAAGGGGGCUAGCGUUGUUCGGAAUUACUGGGCGUAAAGCGCACGUAGGCGGAUUUGUAAGUCAGGGGUGAAAUCCCGGGGCUCAACCUCGGAACUGCCUUUGAUACUGCAAGUCUUGAGUCCGGAAGAGGUGAGUGGAAUUCCUAGUGUAGAGGUGAAAUUCGUAGAUAUUAGGAAGAACACCAGUGGCGAAGGCGGCUCACUGGCCCGAUACUGACGCUGAGGUGCGAAAGCGUGGGGAGCAAACAGGAUUAGAUACCCGUGUAGUCC
rnacentral:rRNA from 1 species